CUAAAACACUGGGUGCCGUUUUAUCAACGGUCGUACGCCCGGUCGUAGCUAAGAUUUGGUCGUACGACCGAUCUUACGUCUACGUCGCGUUUUAUCAACAUGGUCGUAGCUAAGACGUCGUAGAUUUACGUCGUAACUUUAAGGCUGCUUCAGACCAGUCGUAAGUAGGCUUAAGAUCUUAAAAAUGGCGGCCAUUUUUGCAUAAUUCCCGAUAGGAACUUUCAAACACAAAUAUUUGAACAAUUGAAGUUUUCAACUAACGUAGGUUUUCCGCGUACAUGUUUAUGUACAGUGCUGAUUCUAUUUUAACAUCACAGGGACGCAACUAUCACUUCCAGAUUAAUCUCCGGAUAAUUUCCACGAAGAAGCUAUGACCUUUCAAUGAAGUUGCGAAAGACAUGUGCUAAUAAUGUGAAAUCAACAUGGCAACAUUAUGUUAACCUACAGUACAGUGCUGUAAUGAGAAUGCAAAUGAAACUGGAGCACUGUUGUUUGGUAAAGCAUGUACAUGAAUGCGAAAUGAGCAUCUUCAGAUCCAAUUUGGUGUAUCACAUGAAAAGAGGAUUGUAAACAAAGGACAAGUAACUUGUGCAGACAGAAAAUGAUGUUAUGUAAUAGAUAUACCAUUGCUGCGUUGACGAUUUCUGGGUUUGCGUAAAUUAUACCAUAAUCACGUGACCUUUCUUAUGCCUUGACCUCACGAGACGAAGUCGAGUGAGGUUGCAUAAGAAAACAAAGUGACUUAAAUAAGAAAGUGACUUUACAAAAACAAAGAUUUAUGUGUUACAAUUCAUCUGAAAGUAAAAUGACAUGAGAUAAAUCAAUGUAACAUAUGUGUUUAUAUUGAUAUUUAUUGAUUUAUUGUUACUUGAAUGCAUUAAAAAUUGUUGGGAUGAAUAUUAAAAACACAAAGAAAAUAACACAAAAGGGACAAUAAUGAAAAUAAACAAUCUUAAUGUAAAGCUGUGAAACUUUCUACAGAAUUCCCUGGAAGUGACAUUUUAUCUUUAAUGUGCUAAAUUUAUAAUUAUCUUCGUCUUAACUGCUCUUGUCUGAAUAGUACCCUGUGUCUGUUAAAACAUAUUGUUUUUAUAUUGUUAUCUAGUUUCAAGAUUGUUUUCUAGCAGAUAUGUACAUCAAUUCUAAACAGGUAUUAUUAAAAAUUAAUAUGAAUUAGAAAAAGUUGUAACAUGUCAUUUCAAUGUCAUAAUUUUCUUUGCAAUAUGUAUUCAUUGUCAUACUUGAAUAAUAAUAAAAGACUUUGUAACAUUCUAACACUUACUGUUCUGUAAAUACUUUUACAAAUAAGCCAGCCAUAUUGUUUUCAACUUUUCCUUAAUCUUAGCUGAAACUGCUAAGAAAGACUCUUCUAAUGUUUGCAGAUGUUGGAUAGCAUUUUACCUCAGAGCCCUGUAAAUAUAUUUUGUAUUCAAGCUGUGCCACCUGUAAC